rnacentral:rRNA from 1 species
UAAGGAAUAUUGGACAAUGGUCGCAAGACUGAUCCAGCCAUGCCGCGUGCAGGAAGACGGCCCUAUGGGUUGUAAACUGCUUUUGUACCAGAGAAAACCUAUCUACGUGUAGAUAGCUGAUAGUAUGGUAAGAAUAAGCAUCGGCUAACUUCGUGCCAGCAGCCGCGGUAAGACGAAGGAUGCAAGCGUUAUCCGGAUUCAUUGGGUUUAAAGGGUGCGUAGGCGGGCUUGCAAGUCAGUGGUGAAAUCUCUCAGCUUAACUGAGAAACUGCCAUUGAUACUGCAGGCCUAGAGUAUAGAUGACGUUGGCGGAAUAUGACAUGUAGUGGUGAAAUACUUAGAUAUGCCAUAGAACACCGAUUGCGAAGGCAGCUAACGAAACUAUAACUGACGCUGAGGCACGAAAGUGCGGGGAUCAAACA